GGCAUGGUGGCUUAGUGGGUAGCACUGUUGCCCUCCAGGGUUGGGGGUUCGAAUCCCACCUCUGCCC